AGCCCCGGAGCCCUUUAAGGCUCAUCUUCAAAUUUGCAUUUUAACGUGAAACACCACAGGACU
rnacentral:tRNA from 1 species